AUCGAACGCUGGCGGCAUGCUUUACACAUGCAAGUCGAACGGUAACAGGCCUUCGGGUGCUGACGAGUGGCGAACGGGUGAGUAAUGCAUAGGAACGUGCCCAGAGGUGGGGGAUAACGCAGCGAAAGCUGUGCUAAAACCGCAUGUGACCUGAGGAUGAAAGCGGGGGACCAAGCAGCAAAGAUUGGCCUCGCCCCCCUGGAGCGGCCGAUGUCAGAUUAGGUAGUUGGUGGGGUAAAGGCCGACCAAGCCGACGAUCUGUAGCUGGUCUGAGUGGAGGACCGGCCACACGGGAACUGGACCACGGCCCAACCUCCUACGGGGGGCAGCGGAGGGGAAUUUUGGACAUUGGGGGAAGUCCUGACCCAGCAAGGCCGCGUGCGGGAAAAAGGCCUUCGGGUGGUAAACCGCUUUUGUAGGGAACGAAGAGGCUCUGGCUAAUACCUGGAGCUAAUGACGGUACCGAAAGAGUAAGCACCGGCUAACUACGUG
rnacentral:rRNA from 1 species